AAGAAACCGCAAAAAAUGUGAAUAAUUUAAUAUAUAAUAUUUGUAAUGUUGUUCAUAAUAUAAAAGCGACUGUUGCUGCAUAUACAAAAGAACAUACAAUACUUUUAAAAAAAUUACAAAUAAUUCAAAAUCAACAAAUGACAGUGCUUUCUUCAAUGAUUACUACAAACCAAAGGAAGUACUGGACUUUAGUAAAUAAGAAUGAAAUCCGUAUGUCGGUUCUGAGAAGACAACAGAGGGCUUCAAAACAAGUUUGAACACUAAAUAACCACAAAUCAAAUAGAAAACAAAUAAGGCGAUGUUUAGUUAAAGUUUUCAGGGAAAUUCUUUUUUGACUUCAAAGAUGUUGACGAUAAUGUUGACGACGCUGGCAGUAACGGUGAGGAUGACUACCAGAAAUUAAUACGAA